UACGAAGGGGGCUAGCGUUGUUCGGAAUCACUGGGCGUAAAGGGCGCGUAGGCGGCUUUAUAAGUCGGGGGUGAAAGCCUGUGGCUCAACCACAGAAUUGCCUUCGAUACUGUAGAGCUUGAGACCGGAAGAGGUAAGUGGAACUGCGAGUGUAGAGGUGAAAUUCGUAGAUAUUCGCAAGAACACCAGUGGCGAAGGCGGCUUACUGGUCCGAUUCUGACGCUGAGGCGCGAAAGCGUGGGGAGCAAACAGG
rnacentral:rRNA from 1 species